rnacentral:piRNA from 1 species
UGAGAAACUCAGAAAAUAGAGGCCCUUUA